rnacentral:rRNA from 1 species
GAUGAACGCUGGCGGCGUGCCUAAUACAUGCAAGUCGAGCGAACGGACGCGAAGCUUGCUUCUCUGAUGUUAGCGGCGGACGGGUGAGUAACACGUGGAUAACCUACCUAUCAGACUGGGAUAACUUCGGGAAACCGGAGCUAAUACCGGAUGAUAUUUUGAACCGCAUGGUUCAAAAGUGAAAGACGGUCUUGCUGUCUCUUAUCGAUGGAUCCGCGCUGCAUUAGCUAGUUGGUAAGGUAACGGCUUAUCAAGGCAACGAUGCAUAGCCGACCUGAGAGGGGGAUCGGCCACACUGGAACUGGAACACGGUCCAGACUCCUACGGGAGGCAGCAGUAGGGAAUCUUCCGCAAUGGGCGAAAGCCUGACGGAGCAACGCCGCGUGAGUGAUGAAGGUCUUCGGAUCGUAAAACUCUGUUAUUAGGGAAGAACAUAUGUGUAAGUAACUGUGCACAGCUUGACGGUACCUAAUCAGAAAGCCACGGCUAACUACGUG